rnacentral:rRNA from 1 species
GACGAACGCUGGCGGCGUGCUUAACACAUGCAAGUCGAACGGAAAGGCCCUGCUUUUGCGGGGUGCUCGAGUGGCGAACGGGUGAGUAACACGUGAGUAACCUGCCCUUGAAUUUGGGAUAACUUCAGGAAACUGGGGCUAAUACCGGAUAGGAGCUCCUGCUGCAUGGUGGGGGUUGGAAAGUUUCGGCGGUUGGGGAUGGACUCGCGGCUUAUCAGCUUGUUUGUGGGGUAGUGGCUUACCAAGGCUUUGACGGGUAGCCGGCCUGGGAGGGUGGCCGGCCACAUUGGGACUGAGAUACGGCCCAGACUCCUACGGGAGGCAGCAGUGGGGAAUAUUGCACAAUGAGCGGAAGCCUGAUGCAGCAACGCCGCGUGCGGGAUGACGGCCUUCGGGUUGUAAACCGCUUUCGCCUGUGACGAAGCGUGAGUGACGGUAAUGGGUAAAGAAGCACCGGCUAACUACGUG